rnacentral:rRNA from 1 species
UACGUAGGGUGCAAGCGUUAAUCGGAAUUACUGGGCGUAAAGCGUGCGCAGGCGGCUAUGCAAGACAGAUGUGAAAUCCCCGGGCUCAACCUGGGAACUGCAUUUGUGACUGCAUGGCUAGAGUACGGUAGAGGGGGAUGGAAUUCCGCGUGUAGCAGUGAAAUGCGUAGAUAUGCGGAGGAACACCGAUGGCGAAGGCAAUCCCCUGGACCUGUACUGACGCUCAUGCGCGAAAGCGUGGGGAGCAAACAGG